CAAGCCUGUAAAGGUCUAGUUCUCACACUCAGUCCUUCUCAAGACCCCAAGCUCUGGUUGUCUUGAAAAUGUGUUUAACUGGUUAUGAAAAGGACUGGGUAGGAGAAAAAUCUAUUCUGCCUCGGGGCACCUGGAUGGCUCAGUCGGUUGGGCUUCUGCCUUUGGCUCAGAUCAUGAUCCCAGUGUCCUGGGAUCAAGUCCCACAUUGGGCUCGUAGGGAUGUGCUUCAUUCCAAGGAGAACUGGAGCUCUCCACAGACCGCUUACUACGAUGCAAGGCACAGGUGUCCGUGUGUUUGGAGCAAAAUGAGCCACUGUUGACAAUUGUAAAGGAAGGAAGAACGGCUGUUUGCAUCUGGGUGUGGGGUAAGAAAGAGAGAACAGCUGGUGGCAGCUGUGGCAGACAAGAAAGUAACCCAGUGAGCAGCUGCUGGUAGUUCAGAAUCUACUAGACUGCCUGGAAUAACUGAAAUCCAGAAGAAGCAUGUGAGACUCGACUUAACUACUUUACUGUACCCUGCUCUUCAUUAGAUCUGACUUGUCCUUCAUUAGGGACAUUCCCAUGAUAGCCGCAUAAGGACUCCCAGUGGGAAUAUCAGACCCCUCCUUCCCAUCCAUAACCCUUUGGAAAAUCACACCAAGAAAAGUAAAACGGCACAGACGUUACUUCCAGUAAGCCCAUGCUUAUUUUUUACAAGAGGAAGCAGUCUAUGGUUGACAAGGGAAGGAAUGUUACCAGUGAUGGAUCUAUCAUAAGAAUGGGCAUAAAGAAUUCUUUCUAUAUUACAAGAGAUUGUGGUCAUUUUGAUGAUGAUCCCACACUUCAGAAUUCAGUAGGCUAACAUAAUGUGAUAACUUAAGUGUAAUAGAAGCCUAGAAAAAUAACAUUUUAAAUCCCUGUCAGGGGUUUCAAUGUUUGUUUUCUCAUAUGUAUGUAAUCCUGUGAAUGUGUAUACAUAGAAAUAUUUCCCUCUACUUUCUUUUUUAUUCUUAAUAAAAAGAAGAUAAAGAUGUCUUUAUAUCAUGCAUCUGGUGACAAAAUAUUUGGUUGGUUGUCAUGCUUCCCACUGGUUCUUUUACUCAUCUGGAAUUCUAAGGUAAACUGAGAGGCCCCAAAAUGUGUCAUCUACUUCUCAUCUUGUUCAUCACAGAAGAAAAGCAUCUCAUCACUCCAAUUUAUAGAAUUUCAGCUCU